AUCCCUCCUGGGGAGCUUCCUCUGCCGAUCGGAAACGCGUGCCAACAUCCGAAGAGUCGGUAAAUCAACAUCUUUCUUCUUCUUCAAGUCUGCUCUCCCUUGCGAGUAAGAAUGGGAAAAUUAGGGUAUCUAGCGAUGAAGACGGAUCAAAUCAGCAGCGAUCUCAUUAAUUCAGAUCUACUUGAGCUCGGUAUGGCUGCCAAGAACCUCGCCGAUCACGCCUUCAUGCUUGGAAGCGGCCUCCAUUAUUCUCCCAGUUUCCAUUAUUCUCCCAAUACCCCGAUUUCCACAAGAUAUCAAAGGCUGUGGCUCUGAAUGAGAUAAAAAUGAAAAUGUUUCAGUGGUAUGGGAAAAGUGCAGUUGUCUGAGUAGCUGUUUUGAGCUCUUUUUUAUUUGUGUGAUGCAGAUGUCCUUACUUUAUGCUGAUGGGCAAGAUGGUAUGUAUGUAAAUCUUCCUAAAAUUAAGUAGUAUGGUGGCAUAUACUUUGUAAAAAUUAAAGUUUAGGUGUUAGAUAUGUGGAUACAUAAGAAUUAAGUGGUAUGUAGGUCAUGAUCAUAUUUCCUAUGAUUCCCUUAAUAAGGGAAUCAACAAGAUUUAUGAAGUAGACUUCCCAAAAGGUCCUUUGAUUCUAGGCUUAUCCAAACCCUGCUGGAUAAUAGAAAUCUUGGCAAUGAAAGCAGCAUCCUGUUCCCCAACCAAAUGUUGCAGCUUGUAACCAUCCCAGCCAUUCACAUUCCAACAGUCAGCCACUUUGAGAGUAAUGUCCAUAGGCCAUCAUACCGAUCAGCCAAAGCCCCUUGCCCAGUCCAGUCUUCAUACCAAAAAUUGACAUUAUCAUGUCCCAACUCCCAAGUCAUCAAAUUUUCAGUCUCCUUAGCCAUCGUCAGCAUCUCCUUCCAGAUCAGGGAGUCUUUCACAUUGUGGGUAAUGGAUUCAUUACAAGUGCUUUUAAAUACCAUAUUUCUUAUGAUAUUUCCUAUGGUGAAAGUGUUAUGUAUGCAGUUGUCCUUAUUUUAUGCUGAUGGACAAGCUGGUAUAUUGUGUUGUGAGCUAUGCUUAUAUUCAUGAAUUGAAUACAUUGAUUUUUUCUUUAAUUUGCGCUCUGUGAAAGUGAAGUUUAGGUGUAAAGUGAAGAUUUACAUACCAACCAUAUGGGUGGUAUAAAGGUAUAAAGUGAAGUUUAGGUGUUAUAUAUGUAAAAACAUAGGAAUUGGAGGAAGUUUCAAUGUUUAUUCUAAAUGCAUUACCAUGAAGUUUUCAAUGUUUCUUCUAAAUGCAUUACCGUGAGCUUCUAUGCCCUAACGUCCAACUUGCUUUGGAUUUUCUGAAACCUGUGGCCUACGAGGCUUGAUUAAUAGAAAAUGCACCAACUUUCUAUGAAAAUAAGUGUUGAGUUUGUAGAAGAAGGUAUUGUUGAUGCUGCUAUUACUGUGUUUCCCUCUGGGCUGCUAAAGCUUUUACCUCUCGUAUCUUCUUUACUUCAAGAGCUUCUCUUUAUUAUAAAUGAAAUUUUAAGCAUCUCUGUUGCCAUUAAUUCUGCUUGCUGUGAAUAAUUAUUUGGGGAAAAAGAGAGGAAUACUUAGAAUAUCAAUUUAUUAUUUUUUUAAAUGGCCAAGGGAUCGAGGAUGGACUUGUCAGGAGCUUCUUACUCCUCAGGCAAUCCGUAGACAACCAUGUUAUGAGACAAGGGUGUGAGCUCUGCAAAAUGAAUGACAAGGUUUAUGUGUUUCCAUCGUUGGAAGUGCCUAUCAUUUCUUCUGUCUCUUCAUUUGAAGAUAUGUAAAUAUAUUAAAAUUGUGCUCAAUCUGCUAUUCUUUGUUUUAAUUAAUGUAAUCUUUACUUUUAUCUUUUUUUGAAAUAUCCAAAAUAAUACCAUAUUUUUAAUGUAAUAUUUGUCUGUUGUUUACUAUUGCAUUUUAUUAUGCGACC